rnacentral:rRNA from 1 species
AUAGUGUUCGCUGCCCUCGCGGGUAGCAAGCCUCACCCGUGUAUAUUAUAUCUUUGUUGCUUUGGCACGCCGCCUUCGGGCACUGGCUUCGGCUGGCUCGUGUGUGUCAGAGGCCUUAAAACUCUGAAUGUUAGUGUCGUCUGAGUACUAUUUAAUAGUUAAAACUUUCAACAACGGAUCUCUUGGUUCUGGCAUCGAUGAAGAACGCAGCGAAAUGCGAUAAGUAAUGUGAAUUGCAGAAUUCAGUGAAUCAUCGAAUCUUUGAACGCACAUUGCGCCUGGUGGUAUUCCGCCAGGCAUGCCUGUUCGAGCGUCAUUUAAACCAAUCUAGCCUUAUGGUUAGGUCUUGGGCCUUCGCCUCUGGGCGGGCCUUAAAAUCAGUGGCGGUGCCCUUUGGCUCUAAGCGUAGUAAUACUCCUCGCUAUAGACGUCAGGCGGUGUCUUGCCAGCAACCCUAAAUUUUCAAAGGUUGACCUCGGAUCAGGUAGGGAUACCCGCUGAACUUAA